rnacentral:rRNA from 1 species
UACGGAGGGGGCGAGCGUUAUUCGGAAUUAUUGGGCGUAAAGCGCGCGCAGGCGGUCCUUUAAGUCUGAUGUGAAAGCCCACGGCUCAACCGUGGAGGGUCAUUGGAAACUGGGGGACUUGAGUACAGAAGAGAAGAGUGGAAUUCCACGUGUAGCGGUGAAAUGCGUAGAGAUGUGGAGGAACACCAGUGGCGAAGGCGACUCUUUGGUCUGUAACUGACGCUGAGGCGCGAAAGCGUGGGGAGCAAACAGG